rnacentral:rRNA from 1 species
UACGAACCGUACAAACGUUAUUCGGAAUCACUGGGCUUAAAGGGUGCGUAGGCGGCCAUGUAAGUGAGGUGUGAAAUCCCUCGGCUCAACCGAGGAACUGCGCUUCAUACUGCAUGGCUUGAGGGAGACAGGGGUCAGCGGAACUGAUGGUGGAGCGGUGAAAUGCGUUGAUAUCAUCAGGAACACCGGUGGCGAAAGCGGCUGACUGGGUCUCUUCUGACGCUGAGGUACGAAAGCGUGGGGAUCAAACAGG